rnacentral:rRNA from 1 species
UGGGGAAUUUUGCACAAUGGGGGAAACCCUGAUGCAGCGACGCCGCGUGAUUUAGAAGGCCUUCGGGUUGUAAAAAUCUUUUCUAUGGGAAGAAAAUGACAGUACCAUAGGAAUAAGGACCGGCUAAUUACGUGCCAGCAGCCGCGGUAAUACGUAAGGUCCGAGCGUUGUCCGGAAUCAUUGGGCGUAAAGGGUACGUAGGCGGGUAAGCAAGUUAGAAGUGAAAUCCUAUUGCUCAACUAUAGUAAGCUUUUAAAACUGCUCAUCUUGAGGUAUGGAAGGGAAAGUGGAAUUCCUAGUGUAGCGGUGAAAUGCGCAGAUAUUAGGAGGAAUACCGGUGGCGAAGGCGACUUUCUGGCCAUAACCUGACGCUGAGGUACGAAAGCGUGGGUAGCAAACAGG